CUACCAUGCCCUUCUCUUCUUUCCCUCGAAACUCUCUAAAGCAGAGUAACCAAACAUGGCGUUGAACACUUUUGGUGGUGGUGACGAUGAUGAUGCAGAAGAAACCUGCGGUUCUAUACCACUAUCCAUGCCCAGACGGAGCUUUUGCAGCUUUAGCAGCUCACCUCUUCUUCUCUGCUGCUUGUCUUCGGUGAUGUUCUUCGCCAACACCGUCUACAACCCCAUCGCUUCCAAUCAGCUCCUCUCGCCGAAAUCAGUGAUACUUACCUUCUAGACUUUUUGGAUCCGUCUGGGUUUGUUCAGGAAAUCUCUUCCAAGGUCAGCAGAGUGGUGGUCUCGGAUCACCACAGGACCGCAGUGGAGAGUAGUGAGAGUUCUUGUUCAGUUGGUGAGUAUGUGGAGAGGGUUAUUGAUAUCCAGAGUAAUGGAGCUACUAUUGCUUUUGAUUAUUUCGAGGAAAGAGCUGGUAGUGGACUAAAAGAUUUGAAUGUUGGUUCAACGUGUGUUUGAACUUUGAAUCCAUCUUUGUUCAAGCAGGACAUGAUUCUCUCGGUCAAUCAUAUGAGAUUGCUCUUGUGGGUGGAGCAUUUGGAGAUUGCCUGGCUGUGAAUGAUGGUUCUGUAUCGGAGUUGAGGAGUGAACUUGGACAUCAAUUAGCCAAGAAAAGCCGUAAUCUAAAGUUGAGGUAUGCAGCUAUCUACCUACAAAUAUGAUUGUCAAUGUUAUUUCUAACAUAUCUUUCUUUCUCUUUUUAACAUUCAUUGAUUAGAUUGUUCUGUUUUUUUAUGUUAUUAGUUGACUGCAAUUUAUCCCUAGAAAAGAAGUAGGCUUGGAGUGUACGUUAGUUUCAAUCUAGUCUAAAGUUGUUAUUUUGCUAGCUACACAAAUAGUUGUUGACUUGUUUUGGGCCUGAAGCAACUUAAGGACUUAAAUGAUAUAGAUGAGUACAAUAGAUUCACUCCUUUCAUUGGAGGAGAUUUCCUUUCUUGAAGAAUUUCUGUUCCUUUCUCCUUUGAAUGCAUUGGUCCUUUGAAUGCAUUGGUUAUUGGCACGCCAUGUUUAAGCUUUUACAUGCCAGUUUUCUUGUAGUUAUAAUUCCUAUGGAAAAGCAAUGUUGAGGACUCAAACUGGUAUGUUUGGCGUUAAUUGCUUAGAGCCAUUCUUUCUAGAGUUAUAAUGUGGUAGACUGUUCUUUUCCCCGGUGAUAUAUAUAUUCAUGCAACAGAUAAAUCAUACCUUAGUUCUUUCUGAUAAAUCGGAUAAGCCCCCUUGUCAGAGUAAAUAACAGUCAGUCACUUGUACAUUGGAGAUCACUUCAACUCUACAAUGAUGUGGUUCAGAUAAUACACCUAAUCUUUUCCUUGGUCAAGGAUUUAAUGCCAAUACUUCCUUAGAUUUGUGUGCCUACUUUCUUUUGAUUAUCCUUGAAGUGUCACAACUAAAAAUGCCUCCAGUAACUAAAAGUGCCUUUAGUGUCACAACUAAAGCACUGUAGGGGGUUGCGGAAUGAUAUAAGAAUAGCUGCCAACCAAAGGAAGUCUUAUGAACAAGCCACUAAAGAAGUGAAUUGAAUAGCUCUUAUGAAAGCUCCAAUUUUUAACUAUUACAUUGUCAGAACGUCCCGUGUAGAAGAAUUCAAGCAUAGUCUCACCAUUAAAGGAUACAGAAGAAUUCUAGCAUAGUCUCAUCAUUGAAGGAUAUUGACCACGCUUUCAUCUUACAAUAUAGAGUUUAAAAGAGCAAUGGCUGACCUGGUGAAGACCCAGAUGGUGAUCAUUGAGGAUUUAUUCAUGGGUCAACCAUGAGGCCGUUGACCAUUUUUGCUUGUUGAUGCCUGAUGGCACUUGCUUGGUAUUGAAUUGUAGUUAAUUGACUAGAACAAAUUGCUAGAGAAGCCUUGCAGUUUGUCUUGGUCAUUUCCUGUUCUAAGCAUCUUUUUUUUUUUUUUUUUUUUGUAAUUAAAGCUGAAAAGGGUGUGUUAUAAUAACCAAAAAGAGAGGCAAGCAUACAAAUACAGAGUCAUGUUGCCAAGGAAUCAGUUUGUGGGGCAGAAGUCUCCACGGUCCUGAUCCUUAAUAUUGCUGAAAUCGUUGGAGCUUAACAAAAAAGUGAUCAGACCACUAUUUACAUUAGAUAAACCCCAUCUGGAUGUGAGAUGUGCCAACCGGUUGAGAUUCCUUGGGGUCCAAGCAAAGGAAAUAGUCUGAGUCAUAGUGCAAAAAUCCAAAUAGUCUGAAACCGGUUGAGAUUCCUUAAGUGUCUUGUUUUGUAUCUAUUUAAUUUGCUUCAUAUGCAGAGUUAGGUCCGCUUUCUAUCUAAUAGCUUAAAAGUUUGUCAAAUUAAUGGCAAGGCUACCUUAGUCUAAAACCAGAAUGGCCACUAACAACAAUGUUAGACCAGAGAGUUGAUAGAGAGUGGGAUGAAAAAAAGAUAAUGCAAAGGCUAAUUAAUUAUGGGAUGGCUAUGCUUUGAAUAACAAUGAUGAUGAAUUUUAAAUAAUAUGUGCGAAAAUUGAAUGGAAAUUUAGCAGAGGAGCACUAUGAUAUGCAAUUUCCUUUGUUAAUUUAUUUCUCUUUUAUAUGGUUUC